CAGUAUCGACCAACGUGGGCGCAACCAAUCAGAUAUAACUGCACCCAAAUGCUUCAGUAAUGUUUGCGAUUGAUCAAACGGUAAGUUCAGAAAUUGGUCAUCGGAGUAAUUAAUGUUUUUUUGCGUUGUAAGUUUGAUUUUAAUUGUUGUCUUGGUGAACGACUUUGCCUUCUUUGGUUUAAUUGUUCAAUGAAAUCUAAUUCGUGAGUGGUAGCAACGUUGUUUGUGUAUCUUGUUAGGGGCCUACCAUUAACUUCAAAUAAUUACGUUUGACGUACCAUUACAUAUUAACGUUUGUUGGUGUGUUAACAGUCUAUUGAAUAAUAUAAAAGAAUGUUGUUUGACUGGAAUGAUAGAAGAUAAAUGUGCAACACUAACCAUAUAUUUUUGCAUGUUUAGUCUUUCAGGAGAUCGUGUGAUAUACAUUAACUUAAGAGUUCUUAAAAGAAGAAUCCUUUUUUUUUUUUUUUUUUGCAUUAUUGAGGUGUGUUUUCUCUAAUACUAUGCAUGUGCAGUAUGUGCAGAACUGUUCUGUGUACCAGUUGAAGUUGUAAGCAUGUGAAUGCAAAACUUUUUUUUUUUUUAAAUCUAUACAAAAUAUAAUGGACCGGUUCAUAAUUCCUUAUAACUUUUAAGUCUAGUUUCACAGACAGGGCUUGGAUUAAGCCAGGAUUAGGCUGUAGUUAAAUUUAGAACAUUGAAGUAGCUUUUGUAAACAUGCAUUUAGGGAAGAAAAAAAAAAAAUACUGAUGUGCAUCUUGAGACAAAACCAUGGCACUGACACCUUCUUCUUUUUUUUUUUUUUCUUUUUUUUUGUAAUACCCAAUAGUUGCCAGAUGCUGUCCUGUUGGAAAUUCUUCUUUACGUGAUCCUGGAGGAGGGUGAUGCUACAUUAUUAAGUCUGUCUUUGGUUUGUUCCAAAUUCAGAAGUCUGUUGUACUAUAUACAGACUCCUUUCGAAAGAGGGCACAAUCCAGCUGGCUUGACGGAGUAUUUUCUUUUACAUAUUUGAUUAGAGGUUUAAAAAGGUGGAACAAAAUGGAGAACAAGUCUAAGCCAUGUCAGGAAUUCAACAAAAUGUACACCCUGCAGACACUGCGACGAGGUUUACAACAACUGCUUAUCAGGUCACUGCAGUCACCCGGAUCCAGUACGUAUCUAGACCAGAUGGUGGAUCGCACCUAGAAAGGACCUCUACAGCCCUGAAAGACAGCGGAGACCAGGACAACUAGAGCCCCAGAUACAGAUCCCCUGUAAAGACUUUGUUUUUUCUCCAUUUUGUCACCGGUGGAGUUUUUGGUUCCUUGUCGCCUCUGGCUUGCUUCGUUGUGAUCACUUCAUUUACAGUGAUAUCAUUGACAUGAUUGCAAACGAUUCCACAGAUACUAUUUAAACUGAACCAAGCUGAAGGAUGACAUCACUGAAUUCAAUGAUAAACUGCCUUUUAAACUGACUAAAAACUGAGUUUACUAAUGUCCUUCUGCAUUAUUGACUGACACACUAUUUUCCUAUUUAAUACUGUAAAGUUGCUUUGAUCUGUAUUAUUAAAAGCACUAUAUAAAUAAACAAUGCUUGACUUGACCAUGUUGCAGGAGGAAAAUGAGGAGAGAUGCACAUCCAUCCUGGGUUUUACAGUGAUUGGUGCAAGAUGCUGGAGAAGUAACUCCGUAUACCUCAUCAUUUCUGAUCUAAGAGUCUUGAAAAUACCUCCGGAUUGUUGUUAGUGAUUCUGAUUGAUAUUUUAGUCUGCUUGCUUACUGGAUAUAUUUUAUACUGUUUACAUUGUAAAGCACUGAC